rnacentral:rRNA from 1 species
UACAGGGGGUGCAAACGUUGCUCGGAAUUAUUGGGCGUAAAGCGCGCGUAGGCGGCUUUGUAAGUUAGAGGUGAAAGCCCGGGGCUCAACUCCGGAACUGCCUUUAAGACUGCAUCGCUUGAAUCCAGGAGAGGUGAGUGGAAUUCCGAGUGUAGAGGUGAAAUUCGUAGAUAUUCGGAAGAACACCAGUGGCGAAGGCGGCUCACUGGACUGGUAUUGACGCUGAGGUGCGAAAGCGUGGGGAGCAAACAGG